rnacentral:rRNA from 1 species
GAUGAACGCUGGCGGCGUGCCUAAUACAUGCAAGUCGAGCGAACGGACGAGAAGCUUGCUUCUCUGAUGUUAGCGGCGGACGGGUGAGUAACACGUGGAUAACCUACCUAUAAGACUGGGAUAACUUCGGGAAACCGGAGCUAAUACCGGAUAAUAUUUUCAACCGCAUGGUUCAAAAGUGAAAGACGGUCUUGCUGUCACUUAUAGAUGGAUCCGCGCUGCAUUAGCUAGUUGGUAAGGUAACGGCUUACCAAGGCAACGAUGCAUAGCCGACCUGAGAGGGGGAUCGGCCACACUGGAACUGAGACACGCUCCAGACUCCUACGGGAGGCAGCAGUAGGGAAUCUUCCGCAAUGGGGGAAAGCCUGACGGAGCAACGCCGCGUGAGUGAUGAAGGUCUUCGGAUCGGAAAACUCUGUUAUUAGGGAAGAACAUAUGUGUAAGUAACUGUGCACAUCUUGACGGUACCUAAUCAGAAAGCCACGGCUAACUACGUG